GAUGAACGCUGGCGGCGUGCCUAAUACAUGCAAGUCGAGCGAACAGACGAGGAGCUUGCUCCUCUGACGUUAGCGGCGGACGGGUGAGUAACACGUGGAUAACCUACCUAUAAGACUGGGAUAACUUCGGGAAACCGGCGCUAAUACCGGAUAAUCUAUUGAACCGCAUGGUUCAAUAGUGAAAGACGGUUUUGCUGUCACUUAUAGAUGGAUCCGCGCCGCAUUAGCUAGUUGGUAAGGUAACGGCUUACCAAGGCAACGAUGCGUAGCCGACCUGAGAGGGUGAUCGGCCACACUGGAACUGAGACACGGUCCAGACUCCUACGGGAGGCAGCAGUAGGGAAUCUGCCGCAAUGGGCGAAAGCCUGACGGAGCAACGCCGCGUGAGUGAUGAAGGUCUUCGGAUCGUAAAACUCUGUUAUUAGGGAAGAACAAAUGUGUAAGUAACUAUGCACGUCUUGACGGUACCUAAUCAGAAAGCCACGGCUAACUACGUG
rnacentral:rRNA from 1 species